AGUGAACGCUGGCGGCAUGCCUAACACAUGCAAGUCGAACGGCAGCACCGUAAGAGCUUGCUCUUACGUGUGUCGCGUGUCGGACUGGUGCUUAAUACAUCGGAUUCUACUUUUUCGUUGGGGAUAACGUAGGAUAACUUACCCUAAUACCACAUACGACCUACGGGUGUGAGCAGGGGAUCUUCUGACCUUGCGCGAUUGUAUGAGCCGAUGUCGGAUUAGCUAGUUGGCGGGGUAAAGGCCCAACACGGCGACGAUCCGUAGGUGGUAUGAGAGGAUGAUCAGCCACACUGGAACUGAGACACGGUCCAGACUCCUACGGGAGGAAGCAGUGGGGAAUAUUGGACAAUGGGGGAAAGCGUGAUCCAGCAAUACCGCGUGGGUGAAGAAGGACUACGGGUUGUAAAGCCAUGUUGUUGGGAAAGAAAAGAAGCAGGUUAAUACCCCGAGGUUAUGACGGUACCCAAAGAAUAAGCACCGGCUAACUCCGUG
rnacentral:rRNA from 1 species